CAUCCACUUUCUAUGUUUGAAAUCAUUGCAUAAGUUUCAUCACUCCUCACGAAUCCAACAUAUUUAGAAUUAAUUGAAGUUAACCUUCGAUUUAUCUUAUAAUUAUUUAGAUAAUUUUUAAACCAACCUUUCUUCGCAAAAGAAUUAACUCCAACUUGAGCAAACUAGAAGAACUCAAGUCAACAUUUUUAUAAGUAGAAUCAACUUGGUUAUUUCU
rnacentral:lncRNA from 1 species